rnacentral:rRNA from 1 species
UACGAAGGGGACUAGCGUUGUUCGGAAUCACUGGGCGUAAAGCGCACGUAGGCGGAUAUGUCAGUCAGGGGUGAAAUCCCGGGGGCUCAACCUCGGAACUGCCUUUGAUACAGCAUAUCUUGAGUCCGAUAGAGGUGGGUGGAAUUCCUAGUGUAGAGGUGAAAAUUCGUAGAUAUUAGGAAGAACACCGGUGGCGAAGGCGGCCCACUGGAUCGGUACUGACGCUGAGGUGCGAAAGCGUGGGGGAGCAAACAGG